GACGAACCGUGCGAACGUUGUUCGGAAUCACUGGGCUUAAAGGGCGCGUAGGCGGGACCGCAAGUCUGUGGUGAAAUCUGUCGGCUCAACCGACAAACGGCCGUGGAUACUGCGGUUCUCGAGGGGUGUAGGGGCAUGCGGAACUUCCGGUGGAGCGGUGAAAUGCGUAGAUAUCGGAAGGAACGCCGGUGGCGAAAGCGGCGUGCUGGACACCUACUGACGCUGAGGCGCGAAAGCCAGGGGAGCGAACGGG
rnacentral:rRNA from 1 species